rnacentral:rRNA from 1 species
GGAAUCUGCCUUUUGGUUUGGAAUAACAUGGGGAAACCUGUGCUAAUACCGAAUAAGCCUUUACAGGGAAAGUUUUAACGCCGAAAGAUGAGCCCGCACUUGAUUAGCUAGUUGGUAAGGUAAAAGCUUACCAAGGCAAUGAUCAAUAGCUGUUCUUAGAGGAAGACCAGCCACAUUGGGACUGAGACACGGCCCAGACUCCUACGGGAGGCAGCAGUGGGGAAUCUUGCACAAUGGGGGAAACCCUGAUGCAGCGAUGCCGCGUGAGUGAAGAAGGCCUUUGGGUUGUAAAACUCUUUCGUCGGGGAAGAAAAUGACUGUACCCGAAUAAGAAGGUCCGGCUAACUUCGUGCCAGCAGCCGCGGUAAUACGAAGGGACCUAGCGUAGUUCGGAAUUACUGGGCUUAAAGAGCUCGUAGGUGGUUAAAAAAGUUGAUGGUGAAAUCCCAAGGCUUAACCUUGGAACUGCCAUCAAAACUUUUUAGCUAGAGCGUGAUAGAGGUAAGUGGAAUUUCUAGUGUAGAGGUGAAAUUCGUAGAUAUUAGAAAGAACACCAAAUGCGAAGGCAACUUACUGGGUCACUACUGACACUGAGGAGCGAAAGCAUGGGUAGCGAAGAGGAUUAGAUACCCUCGUAGUCCAUGCCGUAAACGAUGUGUGCUAGACGUUGGAAAUAUAUUUUUCAGUGUCGCAGCGAAAGCAUAAGCACACCGC